rnacentral:lncRNA from 1 species
UUCGCGGCCUUGUAGUUCCCCCCUUUUGUCCUUGUCUGUCAAACUUCAUGUCUGAAUACAGUAUUCUGCCAUCCGCGGAGGCUCUAUAGGGUGCAGGAGUGAUACUGCCUGUGCGCGCCGUAGCCAAGAUUCUGUGUGUGUUUCGUAGGGCUUCUCUGUACCUGUGAAGAGAGAAUAAUGGAGUCGGUUGAUGUCUAUGCAGUCGCAUCUGGGUUCUAUACUUUUGCCAAGAUGAUCUGGUGAACCAUCUGCUCAGCGAAUUGCUCAUGAGUUCCAUUUCGGACGGUCAGAACCUCGACUGUUCGUAAGUUCAGAGGGAAUGGGGCUGUUGGGAACCGCACACAUGGGAAGUUUCACGUUUGAAAGGACCGCUUGUCAUCCUUCAAGUCUUCAGCGGGUGUAUCAGACGCUAUUUCUUGCUUGGAUCACGAACAAGUAUCUGUUAGCACUGUCACGAUGCCGCUGCACACGAGCUAACCGUUGUUGCUUCCGAAGCUCCUACAAGCUACUCACAGUAUGGGAAUCACUGAUCGCACGGCAAGAUUCGAAAGAAAGUCUGUCUGGACUUUUACCGGCUGGCCGAGGUCGGCAGUGUUAACGAGCUGACAGUGUUUCGCGACUUCUAUCUUCGGCGCUAGUCUGGCAGUACCGGUCCUGGUAGCCUAAAGCAGUACAUGAUUGUGUGAAGUUCGGAUGACCCGGGCAGGUCAACGGGGGAGUGCGUCAGCAAGCACGUUUCCCUAGUACUGAAGUAAGCGCGGAUGUUCGGUACGACUUCUACCGAGAUCCGGUUGAUAUAUCUCUUCAUGAGGGGUAGUAACGAGGCCUAACUUAAAUCGUUUCAAGUGCGGUUUCAAUGAACGACUUUCCGGGGGGCUUAAGCCACUUGAAUAGGCAUCGCGGCUGAGUUCCACUGCAGGAGAUAUACGUCCGUUUUGUGUGAUUCUGCCUCCUAUUCCUAUUGCUGUUAACGAGUGGCUACCGGUAUCCGACGCCAGGAGAAUGGCUCCGUUUUCGAACCGUCCUUCGUCCUCCGUGGAGAUGAAAAUACCAUUAUGGGCCGAAAGUGUGCCAGCUCGCAUCAGUGAUUCUUCGUCGCUAGAGGGGCUCCAGUAAAUGUGGUCGUGCAGGCUGCUUCUAGCAUUGAAUGAAUGAAGGUCACAGCCGUCGUUUGUCUCCGGCGGUUACGGUGUGCUGAUUGAAGAAACUGUGUUGAGGGAGUCAACGGAUUUCGUCGUGAGCAUCUCAAAGAACUACAACCUCACUUGCUUGCCUGUCAAUUGCCAUGCCGGUGCGUGGUGUGAUCUGGUGACGCUGAACAGAGUGUACAAGGUUUUGCUGCUGAAGCCCUUUGUGACACAGGGCAGGGUCUGAGGGGUUGCAUUGGAUUCAGGAAUCCACACCGUGUGGAUGGAAGUAGAUGGUAUGUAAAACAACUGUAAUACAACCUCUGAAAGGCAAGUAAAU